UUUAUUUACCAUUAUACCUCCAUUGUUGAUUGUUUGUCUCUCUAUGCGUUAUCCUUGAUGUGAUUGACUAAUGCUUUUCCUCUUUCUUCCUCAUAAGCUUCCCUUUUUCUCCUUCCUCCUCUACCUCUCUACUCUCUCUCCUCGAUUGAAGCAACUCCAUCGAAGUAGUUUCUGCGGUGAAGUAAACUAUUAGUUCUCCAUUGAAGCGCCUACCGUGCUUUAUCUCCUCCAUCGAAGUAGUUUCUGACUUGCUGCGGUGAGCUGUUGAAUUUGUAAGCUCAAUUUAGCGCAAUCGAAGUGGAAUUGCUGAACUGUGCAUUUAGAUAUUCUUCAAAUUGACGCUCAGUUGAUUGUUGGAGUUGGCUGUAAACACAGCACAAAACAAGAUUGCAAUGAUGGAUGUGCAAAUAAGGCUAUUAUGGUGGCGUUCCCGGCAAGGAUAACAAAUUCGAGUGCUUAGAAGUGUCAGAAUAAUUAAUGGUUGCUUUGAGAGUUUGAGUCCACUAAAGGGAAUGAGCAUUAAAGGAAAAAGUAGUCUCGCUCAAGGCCAAAUGUGAUUGAGAGGCUUGAAAAUCUGAGAGGGAGAGGCAUUGCUUCAAUGUAUUCGUGGUCUUCUUAAAGGUAGUCAUACAUUAUCUUGUCAUCAUUAUUUUUUAAGGCUCAAUACGUAAGUUUUCAUAUUCUUCUAAGAUGUCUAACCCUUGUUGGACAUGAAUAUAGCAAGGUAGUGGUGGAAUCAUAGUUAGUGUUAUAAGUUGCAUACUACUAAUUUGGAUGCAUAGUAGUGUAGCUGAAGUAGAUGUAGCAAAAACUUGAAUGUUCUAUAUGAAGCGCAAGGAACUAAGGAACUCAAGUGUGGGCUGGUGAAUCCGUUGGGUUUCGUAGACUGCAAUUACAGAAAAGUGAUGUCCAUGCUCAUGAUAUUAAAUUUACAAGGGUAUUGGUUCAUUUAAAAGUUCGUGAAAGUGAAAUCCGAAAGAUCAUAUGAGCAGCUCUAGCAAGGAGGGGGGAAAAAAAAACUAGAAGCUAAGACAAAGGUUGGUCAAAUACAGCAACUAGAACCCGUGUCCAAGUGCAAAGCCACAUUUCUUGAUGUAUUGGAGGCGUGCUUGCAUCACACAAAAGAAGUCAGUUUCAACCAUUCUUUACAAUUACUGGUAUUGUCUUGUCAUGAAUGUCUCAAGCAUUCUUCGAAUUGGCAUCUAUUAAUCUAAAGUUUUUAUCGACAUGGACCCAGGCCAUAAUUGAAAGUUAAAAUCAUUGUAAUUAUAACACCAUAUAUCUGUACAAGUAAUUAAACAGGUUCCUAUCUUUCAUACUUGUUCGUUAUAAUGCAAGCUUAUUUUGGUCGAUAA